AUCCAUCUGAAGAGUCCCAAACCGGAGGAAAUGUGCGUCUUGGAU
rnacentral:hammerhead_ribozyme from 1 species